UCUAUGCCCUCUGGGCAUUUCGGAUUAAUAUUGCAUAUUCCCGGUUAUCCAGCCAGAAUAUGCUUGAACACUCAUGUUUAAAGAAAAACCAAAAAACUCAUGAACCCUGACCUGUAUCACGUGGCCGUAGUUGAUGUCAGUCCGUGCAAACUCUGGUCAUGGUAUAAAAAGCCUUUUUUAGGUGGAGGCCAGAGGAGGUAUCAACCUCCAGAUCGGAGGGGAGGUUACCAGAAUUUACAGUACAGGGGCAGGUAUUACAGCACACGAGGCAGAGCCAGAGGCCGUUAUACAAAGAACCAAUAGAUUGUUCUUAUACCUCGAAUACUCAACAAGCUAGUUUUGGACAAGGUAGCAAUGGCUAUAAUGGUUGUUCCAGCAUGGUCAACCCAGAAAUAUUGAAGACAGCAGACUGGAAGUCGGAGAAGACUUUUGCUGCUUAUUAUAAAAGAGAUAUUUUGCCUUCUUUUUCAGAUAUUGUGUUAAAUAAAAUGUAAACAUGUU